GAUGAACGCUGGCGGCGUGCUUAACACAUGCAAGUCGAACGGAAAGGCCACAGCUUGCUGUGGUACUCGAGUGGCGAACGGGUGAGUAACACGUGGGUGAUCUGCCCUGUACUUCGGGAUAAGCUUGGGAAACUGGGUCUAAUACCGGAUAGGAAUCACAUGUGGGUGUGUGGUUGGAAAGCUUUUGCGGUAUGGGAUGAGCUCGCGGCCUAUCAGCCUGGUGGUGGGGUAAUGGCCUACCAAGGCGUCGACGGGUAGCCGGCCUGAGAGGGUGUACGGCGUCAUGGGGACUGAGAGACGGCCCAGACUCCUACGGGAGGCAGCAGUGGGGAAUAUUGCACAAUGGGCGCAAGCCUGAUGCAGCGACGCCGCGUGGGGGAUGACGGCCUUCGGGUUGUAAACUCCUUUCGUCAGGGACGAAGCGAAAGUGACGGUACCUGGAUAAGAAGCACCGGCUAACUACGUG
rnacentral:rRNA from 1 species